CUGACGGCUUCCAGGAAAAGCUUCUGGCAAUGCAUAUGCGGCCCGUACCAAAACCGACACAGGUGGGCAGGGAGAGAAUCCCGAGGUGAGCGAGAGAACUGUUGCCAAGGAACUCGGCAAAAUGACUCCGUAAGUUAGCGAGAAGGAGUGCUUAAGCAAUUAAGCCGCAGUGAAGAGGCCCAAGCGACUGUUUAACUAAAACACAGCUCUCUGCGAAGUCGCAAGACGAAGUAUAGGGGGUGACACCUGCCCGGUGCUGGAAGGUUAAGAGGAUCUGUUAAGAGCGAUCUGAAGCAGUGAUCCGAAGCCCCAGUGAACGGCGGCCGUAACUAUAACGGUCCUAGGGUAGCGAAAUUCCUUGUCAGGUAAGAUCUGACCCGCACGAAAGGUGUAACGAUUUGGGCGCUGUCUCGGCAGCAGACUCGGUGAAAUCUUAGUACCUGUGAAAAUGCAGGUUACCCGCAACUAGACGGAAAGACCCCAUGGAGCUUUACUGCAGCCUGAUAUUGAAUUCUGGUCAUACAUGUACAGGAUAGGUGGGUGACAAAGAGACGUGCACGCCAGUGUACGAGGAGUCGACGUUGGGAUACCACUCUUGUGUGACCGGGGUUCUAACCUGGUAUCGAGAACAGGUACGGGGAGAGUGUCAGGUGGGCAGUUUGACUGGGGCGGUCGCCUCCCAAAGAGUAACGGAGGCGCCCAAAGGUACGCUCAGAUUGGAUGGAAACCAAUCGACGAGUGCAAUCGCAGAAGCGUGCUUGACUGUGAGACAGACAAGUCGAACAGGGACGAAAGUCGGGAAUAGUGAUCCGGCGGUGCCGAAUGGAAGGGCCGUCGCUCAACGGAUAAAAGCUACCCUGGGGAUAACAGGCUGAUCUCGCCCAAGAGUUCACAUCGACGGCGAGGUUUGGCACCUCGAUGUCGGCUCAUCGCAUCCUGGAGCUGGAUUCGGUUCCAAGGGUUGGGCUGUCCGCCCAUUAAAGCGGUACGCGAGCUGGGUUCAGAACGUCGUGAGACAGUUCGGUCCCUAUCUGUUGUGGGCGAAGGAGAUCUGCGGAGAGCUGUCCUCAGUACGAGAGGACCGGGAUGGACCUACCGCUGGUGCACCGGUUGUUCCGCCAGGGGCAUAGCCGGGUAGCUAAGUAGGGAAAGGAUAAGCGCUGAAAGCAUCUAAGCACGAAGCCUACUCCAAGAUGAGAUCUCCCAUUCGCAAGAAGUAAGACCCCUUAAAGACGAUAAGGUAGAUAGGCCAGGGAUGGAAGUGCAGUGAUGUACGGAGUUGACUGGUACUAAUCGGUCGAGGACUUAAUC
rnacentral:rRNA from 1 species